UAGGGAAUCUUCGGCAAUNAAACGGAAGUCUGACCGAGCAACGCCGCGUGAGUGAAGAAGGUUUUCGGAUCGUAAAGCUCUGUUGUAAGAGAAGAACGAGUGUGAGAGUGGAAAGUUCACACUGUGACGGUAUCUUACCAGAAAGGGACGGCUAACUACGUGCCAGCAGCCGCGGUAAUACGUAGGUCCCGAGCGUUGUCCGGAUUUAUUGGGCGUAAAGCGAGCGCAGGCGGUUAGAUAAGUCUGAAGUUAAAGGCUGUGGCUUAACCAUAGUACGCUUUGGAAACUGUUUAACUUGAGUGCAAGAGGGGAGAGUGGAAUUCCAUGUGUAGCGGUGAAAUGCGUAGAUAUAUGGAGGAACACCGGUGGCGAAAGCGGCUCUCUGGCUUGUAACUGACGCUGAGGCUCGAAAGCGUGGGGAGCAAACAGGAUUAGAUACCCUGGUAGUCCACGCCGUANCGAUGAGUGCUAGGUGUUAGACCCUUUCCGGGGUUUAGUGCCGCAGCUAACGCAUUAAGCACUCCGCCUGGGGAGUACGACCGCAAGGUUG
rnacentral:rRNA from 1 species